GUCUGAGGUCGCUUCGCGACCUCAGAC
rnacentral:misc_RNA from 1 species